rnacentral:lncRNA from 1 species
UGUAUCAUAUCGUGAUCAAAACUGUUUUUUCAACCCUAAAGAACCAAGAAUAAACUGGAGAUCAGGUAUAUAUACAGUCAAAUAAUAUUGAUAUAUACCUAGAUCUGUGGUAGGAAGCUAGCCUCAAGUGCCAACUCCUCCAUGGUUUUGAAUAUUGUUUUUUUACUUUUUAAAUUAUUUUUAUUUUUAUUUUUAUGUGAUGUCCCAAGAAUGGGAUAAAGCUACAAACAGUGGAAUUCAAUUGGCCUUUCAUCUAAUGGCUUGUCUUUCUACAUAGCUGUGCAUGGCUAGAAAUCAUAUGUAUGGGCUAAAAGUGGAAUCACAUUCAAGUGAAAUUUACAACAUUCCUAGCAAGACAGUGUCAUAUGGACAAGGACCUCAGCAUUUCUAAUCUAUCUUUCAUCAACAAUGCCUAAAGGCAAUCAUAUCUCCCACCAAAUCUCUCAGACCAUCCUUUCAAUCAAGAACCAUACUGAAAUAUACACUUUUUUUUUGUUGUUCUUCUCAGCGCCAUUCACUGACUCCAAGCUCCUUAAUCGCAUGUAGAUUAAAGAAGAGGAAGGGCUAGAGGUGAUCCAUGUAGAUUAAAGAAGAGGAAGGGCUAGAGGUGAUCCAUGUAGAUUAAAGAAGAGGAAGGGCUAGAGGUGGUCCAUGUUUCGCCACUGGUAGAAACUCCAUGAACUCUGUGAAGAUAUUUUUCGUUUAGGGUUCCCAACUUCUGUGAACAAGACCCAGGAUCAAGUUCCCAAGUUGGUUCUAGGGUGUCUCAUUUUCCCAUACAAGUAGGCCCUAAGGAUUCUCAUACACAGUAAAAAGGAAGAAAAAAGAAAAAUCCAAACCCAGCUUGCUCAAUGGAGAAACCCUAACCCUAAACAUUAUGACUAAUAUACCCCUUGAAAAUAUCAAUGCACAUGCCUCCUACCAAAGAAGAGGAGGAAGAAAGAAUCUGAAGAGGAAGAAGAAAAAUGGGAUAAUUAACUGAUUGAUAAAGAAGAUACAAAACCCAAGUCUUCAUGAUUGAAUUAAACUCUAGAUACAAAGAAUAACACACAAAAAAAACCCACAAAGUAGGAAAGUAGUUCUUCACAGGCUGAGGCUAGUAAUUUUACAGUGAUAAUCAGCAAGGUUCACAUGUAAUGGUGAAGUUGGUUCGUCUCCAAAGACAACCUCCAUGAGUCAGUAAGGGAAAUUACAUACCAGUAAUACAGAUAAAAAAUCUCUCUACUACUCCUCUUUAGGCUCCUUAAACAUCUGGGACGGCAGGAGGUCCUCAAGAAGUCCAUGAUCUCUCAGCAGAGAAGCUGGAGAAGGACGGAGCCGUCUCUCAUGGAGGAAAGUGGGGUUAAUGGAGGAGGAAUUCAUGUGGUUGAAGUUCAAAGAAAGAGAAGAGUUAUUGAAAUAGGGUUGCUGCUGCUGC